rnacentral:rRNA from 1 species
UACAGAGGGUGCGAGCGUUGUCCGGAAUCACUGGGCGUAAAGGGCGCGUAGGUGGCGGGCCAAGUCCAUGGUGAAAGCUCGAUGCUCAACAUCGAGUCGGCCACGGAUACUGGUUUGCUGGAGCACUGUAGAGGCAGAUGGAAUUCCGGGUGUAGCGGUGGAAUGCGUAGAGAUCCGGAAGAACACCGGUGGCGAAGGCGGUCUGCUGGGCAGUUGCUGACACUGAGGCGCGAAAGCGUGGGGAGCAAACAGG